AUACGGCCAUACCAUGCUGAAUAUACCGGUUCUCAUUAGAUCACCGAAGUCAAGCAUCAUUGGGCGCGGCGCGGUCCAGACCUUGGGUGGGUGACCACCUGAGAACACCGCGCGCCGUU